AUUGAACGCUGGCGGCAUGCCUUACACAUGCAAGUCGAACGGCAGCGGGCCUUCGGGUGCCGGCGAGUGGCGAACGGGUGAGUAAUGCAUCGGAACGUGCCAUUGAGUGGGGGAUAACGUAGCGAAAGUUACGCUAAUACCGCAUAUUCUGUGAGCAGGAAAGCAGGGGACCGCAAGGCCUUGCGCUCUUUGAGCGGCCGAUGUCAGAUUAGCUAGUUGGUGAGGUAAAGGCUUACCAAGGCGAUGAUCUGUAGCGGGUCUGAGAGGAUGAUCCGCCACACUGGAACUGAGACACGGUCCAGACUCCUACGGGAGGCAGCAGUGGGGAAUUUUUGGACAAAUGGGCGGCAAGCCUGAUCCAGCCAUGCCGCGUGAGUGAAGAAGGCCUCGUUGGUUAAGUACGUACGUUACGUCGGGUACGGAAGUAACGGUACGACGUACGGUUAAGGUUAA
rnacentral:rRNA from 1 species